UACGGAGGAGGCAAGCGUUAUCCGGAAUUAUUGGGCGUAAAGCGUCCGCAGGUGGCUAUUCAAGUCUGCGGUCAAAGACUGGGGCUUAACCCUGGAAAGGCCGUGGAAACUGAAGAGCUAGAGUGCAGUAGGGGUAGAGGGAAUUCCCGGUGUAGCGGUGAAAUGCGUAGAGAUCGGGAAGAACAUCGGUGGCGAAAGCGCUCUACUGGACCGCAACUGACACUCAGGGACGAAAGCUAGGGGAGCGAAUGGG
rnacentral:rRNA from 1 species